rnacentral:rRNA from 1 species
AUUGAACGCUGGCGGCAUGCUUUACACAUGCAAGUCGAACGGCAGCGCGGGGGCAACCCUGGCGGCGAGUGGCGAACGGGUGAGUAAUGCAUCGGAACGUAUCCUGUAAUGGGGGAUAACGUAGCGAAAGUUACGCUAAUACCGCAUACGCUCGAGAGAGGAAAGUGGGGGAUCGCAAGACCUCACGUUAUAGGAGCGGCCGAUGUCCGAUUAGCUAGUUGGUGGGGUAAAGGCCUACCAAGGCGACGAUCGGUAGCUGGUCUGAGAGGAUGAUCAGCCACACUGGGACUGAGACACGGCCCAGACUCCUACGGGAGGCAGCAGUGGGGAAUUUUGGACAAUGGGCGGAAAGCCUGAUCCAGCCAUGCCGCGUGCGGGAA